GAAAUGCGAUAAGUAGUGUGAAUUGCAGAAUUCAGUGAAUCAUCGAAUCUUUGAACGCACAUUGCGCCCUUUGGUAUUCCAAAGGGCAUGCCUGUUCGAGCGUCAUUUGUACCCUCAAGCUUUGCUUGGUGUUGGGCGUCUUGUCUCCAGUUCGCUGGAGACUCGCCUUAAAGUAAUUGGCAGCCGGCCUACUGGUUUCGGAGCGCAGCACAAGUCGCGCUCUCUUCCAGCCAAGGUCAGCAUCCACAAAGCCUUUUUUCAACUUUUGACCUCGGAUCAGGUAAGGAUACCCGCUGAACGUAAGC
rnacentral:misc_RNA from 1 species